GGAAGACUGGCAGAGCGGUCUAUUGCGCCUGGCUUGAACCCAGGUAUCGAGGAAUCCCCUCGGUCGCGGGUUCGAACCCCGCGUCUUCCGCCA
rnacentral:tRNA from 3 species